AAAACUGGAACGAACUUUUGGGC
rnacentral:miRNA from 1 species